rnacentral:lncRNA from 1 species
ACUAAAGCAGCCACUGUGUCUCUAAUUCUCAACCAUUCAGCCCAGAGCAAACAGACUGGCUGCAGACAUCUGUCCACCGUGACUUCCAACGCUCCUUCCACACUCAGCUCUUCAUCUGCUCUGUAACUGCUUCUUCCUCAAGGGCCACUGCUUGGCCACCUACCUCACCGGCUGACAUGGCCGAGGACGGUUGAAUGUCAGGAGGGCCUCUGCUUUACAGAGCUGGGAUUCCCUGGGACACUCUGAAGUCCUGUCCUGUCACCAAGACACUCCCUGGGCCACUCUGAAGUCCUGUCCUGUCACCAAGACACUCAAUUUCUCAGCAGCAAAAGCCCCUGCCUGUUGUUGAAGACUCAUUUCUUCAUUCAGUACUUAUUAAUUCGAACAUUUAAUCAGCAUAUAUUUAUAAAGUACCUAAUGAAUAGGAAGUUCUGUAGAAACAGAAAUUAGCUGUAAAAGGUAAAUAGAAAAUCCAUCCAGCUACAAAUGAAGAAAGCCUGCUCCUGACAGCCACUGUACUAACAAUUCUAGGAAAAGGGGUGUUUCUCACUAGAAGUCAAAGAAAUGCAAAUUGAAAUAACGAUGAGUUGACAUUUUCGUUUGUCAACCAUUAAAAUAAAGUUAUAAAACUCAAUGCCAGUGAAGGUAUGAUAAGUUAGGCUAGCAAUUUCUAUUCACUGUGGGAGACCAGGUAUCAAUUCUGGUGUGGCAGGCUAACUCAGUAAGAUAUUAAUUUGUAUUUUGCUCCCUCUGUAUUUUUUUCUUUCUCCUUCAAAUAAGGUAGCCAGACUGUAUUGGUGUGUCACAAAUUACCACCAAAACAGCCACAUAAGACAAAACCCAUAUAUUAGCUCACAGAUUUGUUGGUCAGAAGCCCAGGUAGGGCUCAGCUCUGUUCUCUGCUCAGGGUUGUACAAGACUGAGUUCAGGGCCGGGCGAGGUGGCUCACGCC